GCCGCCCUAGCUCAGCUGGUAGAGCAAUUCAUUCGUAAUGAAUAGGUCGUCGGUUCGAGUCCGAUGGGCGGCU
rnacentral:tRNA from 1 species